rnacentral:rRNA from 1 species
GACGAACGCUGGCGGCGUGCUUAACACAUGCAAGUCGAACGGAAAGGCCCUGCUUUUGUGGGGUGCUCGAGUAGCGAACGGGUGAGUAACACGUGAGUAACCUGCCCUUGACUUUGGGAUAACUUCAGGAAACUGGGGCUAAUACCGGAUAGGAGCUCCUGCUGCAUGGUGGGGGUUGGAAAGUUUCGGCGGUUGGGGAUAGACUCGCGGCUUAUCAGCUUGUUGGUGGGGUAGUGGCUUACCAAGGCUUUGACGGGUAGCCGGCCUGAGAGGGUGACCGGCCACAUUGGGACUGAGAUACGGCCCAGACUCCUACGGGAGGCAGCAGUGGGGAAUAUUGCACAAUGGGCGGAAGCCUGAUGCAGCAACGCCGCGUGCGGGAUGACGGCCUUCGGGUUGUAAACCGCUUUCGCCUGUGACGAAGCGUGAGUGACGGUAAUGGGUAAAGAAGCACCGGCUAACUACGUG